rnacentral:rRNA from 2 species
CYUUAGUAACGGCGAGUGAAACGGAAUUGGCUCAUCGUCAAAGCCGUGCUAGUUAACGCUGGCAUGGUAUUGUGACGUAUAGGGGCGGUCAUGUGCUUUUAGCUGGUGGUACGAAUUUCUUUUGACUGGGAAUCCAAAGCGGGUGCAAGACCCGUACGUGCUGUUAGCUUUUUGUACGCGAUCGUCUCUUUGAGUAGAGUUGUUUGAGAUCGCAGCUCGAAGUGGGUGGUAUUCUUCAUCUGAAGCUAAAUAUGACUACGAAUCCGAUAGCGAACAAGUACCGUGAGGGAAAGUUGCAAAGUACUUUGAAGAGAGAGUUUAAGAGGACGUGAAGCUGGUAUGGUGGAAGCAGAUAGAGAUGACGAACGAGCGUUGUAUUCAGAAUCGUAUCAUGUAUGCGGUUUGUUUUUACAGCCAAUGUGGGCUGGCGGUAUUGGUUAAAGCAAUGUGUUUGGCUUCGAUUGUGACCCUGUGGAGGGAUAAUCGCUCGAUGUGCGAUGCUUGGUAUAGCUAAUAUUAGCGCCGGUCUUGAAGUCAGUGGUCUAUCUGACCCGUCUUGAAACACGGACCAAGGAGUGUAGCGUUUACGCAAGUCUUAGAGUGUAUUGAAACUUAGAGGCAGAACGAAAGUGAAUAUAGCUGGAUCUAUUGAAUUGGGAUACGUUGUUUCUUGUGAAUGGCGUAGGACCAUGGUUUUAUCGCGACAGCUUGCUGUGCGGUGAAAAUUGAGCGUAAAUGGUGCGACCCGAAAGAUGGUGAACUAUGCCUGAGCAGGAUAAAGCCGGAGGAAACUCUGGUGGAAGUCCGAAGCGGUUCUGACGUGCAAAUCGAUCGCCUGACUUGGGUAUAGGGGCGAAAGACUAAUCGAACUAUCUAGUAGCUGGUUCCCUUUGAAGUUUCCUCAGGAUAGCUG